AUUGAACGCUGGCGGCAUGCCUUACACAUGCAAGUCGAACGGUAGAGUAGCAAUACUUGAGAGUGGCGAACGGGUGAGUAAUAUAUCGGAACGUGCCCAGUCGUGGGGGAUAACGUAGAGAAAUUUACGCUAAUACCGCAUACGAUCUAAGGAUGAAAGCGGGGGAUUCGCAAGAACCUCGCGCGAUUGGAGCGGCUGAUAUCAGAUUAGGUUGUUGGUGAGGUAAAAAGCUCACCAAGCCGACGAUCUGUAGCUGGUUUGAGAGAACGACCAGCCACACUGGGACUGAGACACGGCCCAGACUCCUACGGGAGGCAGCA
rnacentral:rRNA from 1 species